rnacentral:rRNA from 1 species
GACGAACGCUGGCGGCGUGCUUAACACAUGCAAGUCGAACGGAAAGGCCCUGCUUUUGUGGGGUGCUCGAGUGGCGAACGGGUGAGUAACACGUGAGUAACCUGCCCUUGACUUUGGGAUAACUUCAGGAAACUGGGGCUAAUACCGGAUAGGAGCUCCUGCUGCAUGGUGGGGGUUGGAAAGUUUCGGCGGUUGGGGAUGGACUCGCGGCUUAUCAGCUUGUUGGUGGGGUAGUGGCUUACCAAGGCUUUGACGGGUAGCCGGCCUGAGAGGGUGACCGGCCACAUUGGGACUGAGAUACGGCCCAGACUCCUACGGGAGGCAGCAGUGGGGAAUAUUGCACAAUGGGCGGACGCCUGAUGCAGCAACGCCGCGUGCGGGAUGACGGCCUUCGGGUUGUAAACCGCUUUCGCCUGUGACGAAGCGUGAGUGACGGUAAUGGGUAAAGAAGCACCGGCUAACUACG